rnacentral:lncRNA from 1 species
UAGAAAGCAAGCCAUCAUGAAGGCUUCAUGGUACUUCUGAAGAAUGUUAAUGAAAGUCUACAAAGUUUGGCUGCAUAUCAAUAUUUUUGUCAUGAAGGAUCAUUUGUUUUGUUGUUGUUUGUUUACAGUUGCCAAGUCAUGUCCGACUCUUCUGCGACCCACCAGACUCCUCUGUCCAUGGAAUUUUUCAAGCAAGAAUACUGGAGCAAGUUACCGUUUCUUUCUCCAGGGGACCUUCCCAACCCAGGGAUUGAACCAGAGUCUCUUGCAUUGCUCAGCUGCCAGGGAAGGAUCAUUUAUGGAGAAACAAGUGCAGGGAAUGAAUGUAGGGAUUUCAGUAGCCCUCCUGAAAUUAAGGGAAAAAAAUGCCAGAAUGAUCCAAAGUUUUGUGCAUUCUGGAGGGAGAAAUCGAUGAUACGUGUUAUUUGAGGAAACUUGACAUCGCUUUAUUGACCUCAUGAAUAUUUUUCUUCUGAAAGGAAAUAUCCUAUUUUAUUCUGCCUUUUUUUUCUUUUGGCCUCUCCAGGCAGCAUGUGGAAUCUUAGUUCCCCCACCAGGGAUCAAACCCAUGCCCCCUCCAUUGGAAGCCUGCUGUUUUAACCAAUAGAGCACCAGGGAAGUCCCUAUCCUCAUCUUUUAAAAAAAUCCAUUGACAGUUGUUGACUAUGUUGGUAUUUUAAUAAUAUGAUACAGAACAUUUAUUUCCCUUCUUUAUUUUAUCAGAAUAAAGCAAUGAUGAAAGGGGAUUUUCUCCCAUGUCCUUAUUGAUUUACAACUUCUCUUUUGCAAUCCCCACCAUCUUCUGAAACUGGACUGAUAGCUCAGAUUGCACUUGGAUAAAUGUAAAGUUCUUUAUAUUUUUUCAUUUCUCUGAUUUUUAAUUAGUAUGCAGUGAACGAUCUUUGCUAUACAGUUCUAUGAGAUUUGACAAUUUGAUAGUUAUGUAGCCAUGUAACCACCACCAUAAUCAAGGUGCAGAAUAGUUCUAUCUACAGCUCAGGACCCUUUGUGGUCAGUGCUUCUUCCCACCCACAUCUUGGAAAUCCUUUUCCCAUCCCUAAAGUGUGCCUUUGCACGAAUGUCCGCUCAACAGAAUCAUGCAGUACAGAACUUUUCGGUUCUGGCUUCUUUCAUUCAGCGUAAAGCAUUUGAGAUUCAUCUGAGUCAAUAUUCCAGUUUUUUCAUUAUCUUGAAGUAUUACAUUAACUUGUGUUCCACAAUUUGUUUAUUCAUCCGCUAUUGGAAGAGCAGUCUCUGGUGAUUAUGAGUAACACUGCUGUGAAUGCCAACAUGCAGAUUUUGUGCAGAUCUAAAUUUUUUCACUUGGGAGAAGGAGUGUAUUAGUGGUGCUAUAGAAAUGACUCUGUGUGUGUGAUUGCUAUUUCAUUUGUUUGUUGCGGGGAGAGCUGGGAGGUAUUUGUUUCUUAUUGAAGUAUAACUGAUGUACAGUGCUGUGCUGGUUUCAAGAGUACAGCAAAGUGAUACAGGGCUUCCCUGGUGGAUCAGUGGUAGAGAACCUGCCAAUGCAGAAGACACAGGUUCGAUCCCUGGGUUGGGAAGACUCCAUGGAUAAGGAAAUGGCAACCCACUCCAGUAUUCUUGCCUGGAAAAUCCCAUGGACAGAGGAGCCUGGCAGUUUAUAGCCAAAGGCGUCACAAAGAAUCAGACAUGACUUCAUGAACGAACAGCAACUAUAUAUAUAUAUAUAUAUAUAUAUAUAUAUUAAUGUUCAAGGGCAAGCAUUUAUUCAUACACAGACUUAGAAGAUCCCUUCUCCAACUCUCUUCUCUCUCUGCUGAUUCCCAUGGGUCCCUUUCUCAGUCCUUCGGCUAGAAAUCCAGCUGCUUUCCCUUGGCACUUUAUAGGUCUGCUGCUGGGGGUCUCAGGGCAGGGAUUGGAGAGAAAAAAGAGAGAGAGAGAAAGGAAAAACAAAACAGGAAUUCUUCUAUGCUGUGGUUCAUAUAGGCCCCUUUUCUUGGUUCUUUGACUCCCCCCAAAAAAGAGGGGAUCUUUUCUGACCUAUUCUGUGAUUGGGGCUUCCCUUGGCCUAAAAUCAGAAAGAAAAGGGGGGGAAAUAAAACAGAAAAUCUUCUACCUCUCAUUCAAGUUUGAUUUCCCUACCAGUUCAUCUAUCAUUUACUUCUCAGAGGUCCCAAGUAGUUGCUCUUUAUACUUUGAUUUCUUCCCUUCCAGAUGGGUUGCUAUGGUUCAAAGGGAUACAAGUACCCCAAUGUUCAUUACAGCGCUGUUUACAGUAGCCGAGAUAUGGAAGCAACCUAAAUGUCAGUGAAUAGAGGAACGGAUAAAGAAGAUGUGGUACAGAUAUGCAAUGGAAUACUACCCAGCUAUGAAAGAGAAUGAAAUAAUGCCAUUGGCAGCAAUGUGAGUGGACCUAGAGAUGACCAUACUGAGUGAAGUAAGUCAGAAAAAGGAAAAAACAUGGGGAAUCUAAAAAAAAAAAAAGAUACCAAUGAAUUUAUUUACAAAACAGGAUCAGACUCACAGACUUAGAGAACACACUUAGGGUUAUGGGCGGUGGGGGGAGGGCAGAGGGGUGGGGAAGAAGGGGAGGGAUAGUUAGGUAUUUUGGAAUUGACCAAUACACACUGCUACAUUUAAAAUAGAUAACCAACAAAGACCUACUGUAUAGCACAGAGAACUCUGCUCAAUAUUAUGUAACAACCUAAAUGGGAAAAGAAUUUUAAAAAGAAUGCUGCUGCUGCUGCUAAGUCACUUCUGCUGCUACUGCUAAGUCUCUUCAGUCAUGUCCGACUCUGUGCGACCCCAUAGAUGGCAGGCCAUCAGGCUCCUCCGUCCCUGGGAUUCUCCAGGCAAGAACACUGGAGUGGGUUGCCAUUUCCUUCUCCAAUGCAUGAAAGUUUAAAGUGAAAAGGAAGUCGCUCAGUCAUGUCCGACUCUUAGCGACCCCAUGGACUGCAGCCCACCAGGCUCCUGCGUCCAUGGGAGUUUCCAGGCAAGAGUGCUGGAGUGGGGUGCCAGUGCCUUCAGUCGUGUCCAACUCUGUGCAACCCCAUGGAAGGCAACCCACCAGGCUCCUCUGUUCUGGGGAUACUCCAGGUAAGAGUACAGGAGUGGGUUGCCAUUUCCCUCUCCUUUAUAAAGAAUAGAUGUAUAUGUAACUGAACCCCUGUAGACCGGAAACUAACACAACAUUGUUAAUCAAUUAUACUCCAAUAUAAAAUGAAAAGAUUUUUAAAGCAGGAGGACUUGUCACUGGAGUUGAAACUCUGACUAAAUAAUAACACAACUUAGGCUACAGAUUGUUCUUUUCCUUCUUUUUCCUUCAUAGAUGUCUCAAUGUCUCACUUUAGGCCAAUCUUUAAAUGGUAACAUUUGCAUUCAAAACACCAGGGAAUACACCACCCAGAGCUUCAUCCUCUUUUGCUGAACUGUAGACCAGAUUCAGGCCCUCAGUAGAAGCCUGUUACGCGAACAGUUUUUAAAAACUAAGCCUGGAGGGCGUGUCUGUCGUUCUUUUGACCUUCACAAGGUUGGUAUCGUGGUUGGUCUGUAUCCUGUACCCUUCAUCUUGUUGGCUUAAAUAUAUGGGGCAGUAUAACUUAAUCAGUGUGAACUGAAUUGCAUUUUAGAGAAAGCGUUUUGCCAGCAGUAGAGUGUAAUUACAUUACAAUGGGAGAUUCCAUUUUCAUUAAAUACAACUUCUACUCUUUCGUGAGAUCUGUCUUAAAGUCUCUAUCACGUGAGUGUUAGGAUUGGAGGUUCACCCUCUGGAUCUCUCUGUAGGUAGAUUAGUUCUGUUAAUUUGGCAAGGUCACAGUUUUUAAAGGGAAAGUCGUUUUCAUUGAUUUGAAAGGUUAGAUUGUAGCUGAGGGAAUUUGAUGGUUUCUUUCCUAGUCAGUGAGACUGGAAGUUUCUCCGUGUCGGUAGGUCUUACAGUUCAAAGAAUGUCCUUCAAACUGAUUUAUGACUGAAUCUUUUUAUAUACAUUUUACUGAAAGAUGAGCUAAACCUGUUAUGAAAUUGAUUAUAUUGGGCUUUAUUCUCUCUCUUCCUCUUCUUUACCACUGUUAGUAUGGCACACAUUAAUAAACUAGCGUUUAUAUUCUGAGACAUUGUUUCUUUUUUUAAAUUAAUUGAUCUAUUCUUCUGUUGCUGUUUGGUUGUGCUGG